rnacentral:rRNA from 1 species
UGCAAGUCGAACGAACUCUGGUAUUGAUUGGUGCUUGCAUCAUGAUUUACAUUUGAGUGAGUGGCGAACUGGUGAGUAACACGUGGGAAACCUGCCCAGAAGCGGGGGAUAACACCUGGAAACAGAUGCUAAUACCGCAUAACAACUUGGACCGCAUGGUCCGAGUUUGAAAGAUGGCUUCGGCUAUCACUUUUGGAUGGUCCCGCGGCGUAUUAGCUAGAUGGUGAGGUAACGGCUCACCAUGGCAAUGAUACGUAGCCGACCUGAGAGGGUAAUCGGCCACAUUGGGACUGAGACACGGCCCAAACUCCUACGGGAGGCAGCAGUAGGGAAUCUUCCACAAUGGACGAAAGUCUGAUGGAGCAACGCCGCGUGAGUGAAGAAGGGUUUCGGCUCGUAAAACUCUGUUGUUAAAGAAGAACAUAUCUGAGAGUAACUGUUCAGGUAUUGACGGUAUUUAACCAGAAAGCCACGGCUAACUACGUGCCAGCAGCCGCGGUAAUACGUAGGUGGCAAGCGUUGUCCGGAUUUAUUGGGCGUAAAGCGAGCGCAGGCGGUUUUUUAAGUCUGAUGUGAAAGCCUUCGGCUCAACCGAAGAAGUGCAUCGGAAACUGGGAAACUUGAGUGCAGAAGAGGACAGUGGAACUCCAUGUGUAGCGGUGAAAUGCGUAGAUAUAUGG